UACGGAGGGUGCAAGCGUUAUCCGGAUUUACUGGGUUUAAAGGGUGCGUAGGCGGGCCCUUAAGUCAGUGGUGAAAGCUCCGAGCUUAACUCGGAAACUGCCAUUGAUACUAUAGGUCUUGAAUUCGGUCGAGGUUGGCGGAAUGUGUCGUGUAGCGGUGAAAUGCUUAGAUAUGACACAGAACAUCGAUUGCGAAGGCAGCUAGCUAGACCGACAUUGACGCUGAGGCACGAAAGCGUGGGGAUCAAACAGG
rnacentral:rRNA from 1 species